ensembl:lncRNA
UGUGAGUUCCUACAGUCACAUUCGUCAGGUUCGGUAGCUGUUCUGUCCCCCUGUGAGCUGAAAGUGGCCAUCUCAGACAUGUCUCAGCUCAUGACGGCUUUCGGACACAUCUACAACACAGACUUUAAGGCGUACUUUUAAAGAGCCCCUCCGGCCCUCAGUUCUGCCGCUAUUGUGUUUCAGUCUGUACAUCAGCUCCUGCACACCUGUAAUAUGGUAAAGCAUCCUACAUCAUUUAUCUGCAGUAACUUAAAGAGAUUGUUCACCCAAAAAUGAAAAUUGGCUGUUAAUUGACUUUUUGUAUUUAGUAGAACAGUAAAGAUUAUUAUUAUUAUUAUUAUUAUUAUUAUAUUUAUUUUUUUGUAGCUGAAACCAUGGUCCUUGGUAAUGCGUGAAAAACAAGUCAAUGGCUACAGUCACUUUGAGAGUAAAAAAAAAAUAAAAUCAGGGGACACAAAAUUUAAUACAUAUGGCUCGUGACAAUAUAUUGAGGUCUUAUGAAGCAAAAUCAUUGCUCUGUGCAAAAGAAAUUGAACAUUAAUUCCUGUAGUCCAUUCCGAGUUUGCAUGAUUUUUUAGGAGCAAAUACAAAGUUUCUUGGCAGAAUGCAGUAGUUUUGCGAAAGAAUGCAAAGUUUACUCUAGGAAAUGCAGUAAUUUUGCAGGAGAAUGCUAACCUUUUGCAAGUGAACCCAAAGGAUUCUUGGGGAAAUGCAAUACUUUUGCAAAAGCAUGAAGAGAGUUUUGAAUUACAUGGCUGGAUACUCUCUGGACAGCCCUUGUAUAUUUUUUGCAUAUUCAAAUACAAAUGUUUUUUAUAUUCUUCAUUUAUGUUUCAGGAGCUGGAGGCUCGUAAGCAGCUGUCUGAAACCUCGUCAUCUCUCACACAAACAGUGCAACAGCUGCAGACAGACAAGCGGUACUGGUCUAAAGGGGAGAAGUGCACGCUGCGUUGAAGGAGCUAAAGAACAGAUAUGUGGCUUUUCUCUCCCUUCACCAAUCAUAACCUCAAGGACUAAGCAGAAAUCUACAACCUACAGCUUUCAUUUAAUUAGUGAAAGGCAUGAGGUGUCAAACCUAACCAAUCAGACCACUUAUUUACAUGUUCAGGACUGUUCCCAUGCCCCAUGCCAUGCACUGUUAUGCAGAUUUAUACUGUUAAUAAAUAACAAACUGCAUUCCACUUAUAAAAUUGCCUUCUAA